rnacentral:rRNA from 1 species
CCCUAUUAUUUUAGAAUGUUAAUUUGUUUUAUUGCCUGAGUAGUAUUAGUUAUGUUCUUGAAACUUAAAGAAUUUGGCGGUAUCUCAUUCCGUCCAGAGGAAUCUGUCUCGUUAUCGAUAGUCCGCGUUGGACCUUACUUGGUUGCCUUGGUUUGUAUACCGCCGUUUAUUUGAUUAUCUUUUUAGAGUUAUUAAAUUUUCUAGUUUCCUUAUUUUGUUUUAUUUCAGGUCAAGGUGCAGCUUGUUUCCAAGUGAAUGAUGGAUUACAUUGAUUAAUUUGUUUUUGGAUUGCUUGCUUGAAUUUGGGCAUGAAAUUGGAUUUGGUUGUAAUGGUUUGUAGAUUGUUAUUAUGAUAAUUGGUUCUGGGAUAUGCACACAUCGCCCGUCGCUCUCGUUG